GAUAAGGUAAGUUUCGUCAGCCAGCCACGAAAAUGAUCCCAUCAUGGAUUGAAUUAACGUAGGAGCAGUGACAGCCACAUACCGGGAGUUCAAUCAGACGCCGCCAUCUGUUAGAGACUGUUUGGAUGGAAAGAAAAUUGAAUUAAAACGGUGGCGGCUGGAUCAUACAGUACAGGUGCCAUUAUUAUUAUUAUAGGCAGCCUAAACUGCUACUGCUAUAUAUAUAUGUGUGUGUGUGUGUGCGCGUGCGUGCGUGUGAAAUGAAUGAAUGUCACCAGUUGUAGUUGCAGUACAUAAGGCGCCGGCUGGCAAUGGCUGAGAUGCUCUGAAAGGUUGGCUACGCAGGAGAGAUGAUGCCGACGGCGGCCAUGGAUAUAUGUGAAACCAUAUUUCUGAGAGAUUACUAGGUGCCGCCGGUAUCAUCUCCCCUGCAUAGUGAAGCUUCUUUGCUGCUGCCUAAAUGUGUCCAAACAGGUAAGAUGAGCUGAGGCAAAACUUGAAGGUGGAAGAAGAGAGUGGGAAGUGUUCCCAUAGGAUUUGCCAUAGCUCGGUUGUUAUUUUCUAUCCGCAUCACAGCUGCGGACUCAUCUUCCGGUUUGAUAUAAUCAUUAAGGAACCGUUCUAAAGUUACUUUCACACUUGUUCUAUGUUUUAAUGUCCAAUCAUUCAUAAACUCUGUCAAUUCUGUAUAAAGAUUUUAUAAUACACUUUUCAUAUUGUCAUAGAGUCUAAGAAUUUGAUGGGAAGAAGGUGUUCCAGGGCCGUUAUAUUUUACUUUAGCAAAAGAAGAGGAAGAGGAAGAGGAAGAAGAAGAUAACAGGCCAUUUCCCAAUUAAAAAGAAAAGAUGGUUUCAACAGUAUCACUUGUCACUUCCAAUCAUAUGGGAACAAAGCAUACGAGCUCCAGGUAAUUCAACAGAAUUCAAGUUACACAUUAAGUAAAUAUUAAACAUGUUACUGAAUCAAAGGUCAAUAUUCAGGACAAGUUCAGAUUCAGCAACUCUCUGGCACUGCAUUUGUUUCGGCACUACCAAGAUCCUACAGCACCCGCAGUAGGAUUCUCAAACGCCCCAAAGUUCCAGAAAGUCUUCAAUGCAUAGGGCGGAUAAAUUGUCGUUCCUUCUUCUGUGAUUUUUGCUAUCUGCAAUUUUGAGGUACCACGGUGUUAGGUAGGAGAAUGUUCAGAACCUUAAUGGUUGCUAGAGAAUUACUCCAUAUUCCCUCUUUCUUUCCACCAUUGCAAGUUAAGUAGCAUCCCACUAUCAUAAUCGCGCAAAAUACAUUUGCUAUAACAACUUUGAGCACAAUAUUUCACUUCAAUAUGAAAAGGAAAAUGCCUUCCAUACCAUUAAAUUUGUUUCGAUUUGAUAUUAAGAGGAAGCUACAACACAGUUGAAAAAGAAAAUUACUUUACAAUGCAGCAAAUUUCCAAACGACAAUGUUAUUCUGUCCCACAGAGGGGUGUCAAGGGAAAUCCCCUUUUUACCCCUCCUUGUUUUGUGUCCCCUUGGCACCCCUACAGAAAGCAAGGAGGGGUAAAGACUUCACCUCCUCAGCACCCCGCUUUCGGCCCAAAAAAACAUUAUCCAUUUCCAAAUGCCCGUGUACUAUAGUAACAGUGAGGAAGCAUACACCAUAUCUCCCCCCCCCCCCAUAAAAAAUAA